rnacentral:rRNA from 1 species
GGUGAACUGCUUUUGUACGGAACGAAGUGGGCUAAUACCCGAGUAUGACGGUACCGUAAGAUAACCCGGCUAACUACGUGACAGCCGCGGUAAUACGUAGGGUGAAGCGUAAUCGGAAUACUGGGCGUAAAGCGUGCGCAGCGGUCUUGUAAACAGAGGUGAAAUCCCCGGGCUCAACCUGGGAACUGCCUUUGUGACUGCAAGGGCUAGGAGAUUGCGGGCGAGCAGGGAGGAANUGNGACCAUUCACGGCGAUGGCUAGCAGCUGGGACAAUG